UAAAUUGUAAUUUCAUUAUAAUCCCGUCAACAAUGAUUAUAUUUGAAGCACGUACUAAGUUUAGACGCGUCGCAGCUUGCUGCACGUUAGCUUUGACGAAGCCGCUUCCUCAGCCAUCACCGCGACAACAAAACUGUCUUAAACCACAGAGAAAACUUUUUUUAUAGCAGAGAUACGAUACCUUUUUUUUUUUUAUCUUUAUC